CCACUCAUAAACCCUCUUAUAAUUUCAUAUGUACUUACGUGGGGUUUAAUAUUAUUUAAAUUUUAGGCCGGAGUUCCACGAGAUCGGCGCCGGCUGGCUGGGGAACGAUCCCGUCGGCAUGAUGGAGCGACGGGCGUCGUCAAAACGAUACAAAAAUGUUUACAAGCACAACGCAAGGACAGACAGAUUUCUACACCAGCGCUCUUUGUGCGAUCCCCCAACCCACAGACUCUGGGAAACUCAAAUUACUCUCAUGAUAGACAAGGUGCUCCAAGCGAGUAUGCAAACAUUGGGUCAAAAUAUAGCCAAACAUUGGGUUGACUUUAUUUGGAAAACACUCGGUUCCGACACCCUUCUGAACAGCCAAAUCGUGGGAAGCGAUUUCUACCGAAAAUGACCGAAGUAAAACAUGACGUAAUGCUUGCAACAGCAUGCGGUUGCUGAUUGGUCAAAUGUUUGUCAGAGUAUUAUGGGUUGCCGGUUGCUUGCAGGACCCGGAAGUUCCCAAGGAUAGGGACUCAGAACUUUUUUUCCAAUCGUCCCGAAACGUAACCAAAUCUACUUUCAUUUCGACAUCGGGACAGUGGUAACGAACACCUAAUUUCUUAUUUCCUGCGAAACACCUUCGCUCUCACUGCGCUCAGACAGGCAAAGAUGCUUAUCUAACGUAUACUAAGUAGCCUCCUUGGACAGGCGAAAAAGUAGGUCAAUGGCUUGAACUUUUCACCCUUUUCACCCGAUCUGUUUGCUGUGUCAGGGAACAGUUUUCUCAUCUCAAUAUUACAAUUAAAAUAGUUAAUGACAUUAUGUAUUCACCAAUGAUGGUCCCAGACUAUAGAACGCCCCUUAGCAACAAUGUCAAAAUGUUGAUAGAUGUAAGUUCCGACUUUAAAACGACCCAACUGGCGGCUGGAGUUUCAGUACGGGGCUGCGGAACACCAGUUGCUACAACCCUCCGCGGCCCCACAGCUUUUGGUUCCCGCAGGAGCGCGCCGGGCACUUCCCACCGGCCGGAGCGCCGGGCACGAUCUCCACUGGCCGGCGGCGCAGCACCGAGGAAUUUACCGGGGAGCUCCGCUGGUAUGGUCACCAGACUAGACAGGGGAAGCCCGCCGCGGCAGCCGGCUUGGUCAGCGUGGAUUUGUACUUGGAACAAAAUAGGCAAGGUCUAAACUUUUCUAAAAUCUAAAGCCUGGAUACCGAUACCCCCAGCCGUAGAGGUAUAGAGGAACCUACGAAGGACAGGUUGAAGAAAGUAAACCUCAGACAUGCAGCGAGGGAUACCCUACUGUUCUACACUGGACACCGGUGCCGGCAUAUAUGCCCUGUCUGCGCUAAACUGCCCGCACCUGCCAACGACGCAGGGUUCCGAACAGUGGAGACCAUCUCAGUGCACGGAGAAGGUUUCACUCUACAUGGCGACAAACACAACAGUUACUCAAGAAUACAAUUAAGAAGUGGAACAAAAUACCAGGUAAACUUCGCCAUGUCCACCCUGAGAUGCAGACUACAACAGGAAUUCACUGGCUAGCAUGAAACCUAGUCGUGGAAGGCUUGGGGUGUGCAUUCAUGUUUUGCAGCCAAGAAAAUUGAAAAACAAGCAUGGAAUGCAACAGCAUCAUGGAAGCAAAGAAAAUAAAAACUAA